AGACGAUAAUACUUAACCAUUCGCAAGAAUGGGGCGGAAAGCCUACGGGUCUUACUGAGACAGCCGGGUUGCCGAA
rfam:Geobacter uraniireducens Rf4, complete genome.